rfam:Papilio xuthus contig17477, whole genome shotgun sequence.
CCUUCGAUAGCUCAGUUGGUAGAGCGGUGGACUGUAGAAGAAUUGAUGCUGUCAUCCAUAGGUCGCUGGUUCAAAUCCGGCUCGAACCA